rnacentral:rRNA from 1 species
AGUGAACGCUGGCGGUAGGCCUAACACAUGCAAGUCGAACGGCAGCACAGUAAGAGCUUGCUCUUACGGGUGGCGAGUGGCGGACGGGUGAGGAAUACAUCGGAAUCUACUUUUUCGUGGGGGAUAACGUAGGGAAACUUACGCUGAUACCGCAUACGACCUACGGGUGGAAGCAGGGGAUCUUCGGACCUUGCGCGAUUGAAUGAGCCGAUGUCGGAUUAGCUAGUUGGCGGGGUAAAGGCCCACCAAGGCGACGAUCCGUAGCUGGCCUGAGAGGAUGAUCAGCCACACUGGAACUGAGACACGGUCCAGACUCCUACGGGAGGCAGCAGUGGGGAAUAUUGGACAAUGGGCGCAAGCCUGAUCCAGCCAUACCGCGUGGGUGAAGAAGGCCUUCGGGUUGUAAAGCCCUUUUGUUGGGAAAGAAAAGCAGCAGGUUAAUACCCCGCUGUUCUGACGGUACCCAAAGAAUAAGCACCGGCUAACUUCGUG